GCGGGAAUGGUGGAACGGUAGACACACUUGAUUUAGGAUCAAGGCGCUGAGGGUUCGAAUCCCUCUUCCCGUACAA
rnacentral:tRNA from 5 species